rnacentral:lncRNA from 1 species
UAAUUAUUCUUGCACAACUUCUUUGAUUUCUAUAUAUAGUACUCUCAUCUUUUAAGAAACACUAUUUUUUAUAAUCAUCACAAACUGCACACUUAACGUUACUAACUUAUCCUAACAAUGUUCAGCAGCCAAUAGGGCAUUGCAAAGAGAACUUGAGUAGUCAAAUUGCAUCACAUAUUAAAGAAAUAGCAAGCUCAAAAAUGCAGAUCACCAUAAAAUAAACAGCAUAAUACAUAAUAAACCCAGAAGGCCAGAACUGCCAAAACAUUAAAAUAGUCCAAUAAAGACAGCAAGUCAGUCAUUAUUUCUAACAAACAUUAAAAUAGUCCAAUAAACAUUAAAACAUUAAAACUCCAAUAGUGGCAAGCAAUAACUAAUCUCCGAACACUCCAAUGAUCCAAUAUUUCUAUUGUAAAAGAAAUGUUCAAACUUUUCAAGCAUGUCAGUCAGAAACCUUUUCAUAGUGGUAGCAUUCUAUUUCUAUAGCUCACAAAGUUUAAUAUUACAGAAGAGG